UACGUAGGGUGCAAGCGUUGUCCGGAAUUAUUGGGCGUAAAGAGCUCGUAGGCGGUCUGUCGCGUCUGCUGUGAAAAUCCAGGGCUCAACCCUGGACCUGCGGUGGGUACGGGCAGACUAGAGUGCGGUAGGGGAGAUCGGAAUUCCUGGUGUAGCGGUGAAAUGCGCAGAUAUCAGGAGGAACACCGGUGGCGAAGGCGGAUCUCUGGGCCGUAACUGACGCUGAGGAGCGAAAGCAUGGGGAGCGAACAGG
rnacentral:rRNA from 1 species